rnacentral:rRNA from 1 species
UACGUAGGGGGGCAAGCGUUGUCCGGAUUUAUUGGGCGUAAAGAGCGUGUAGGCGGCCAGAUAGGUCUGUUGUGAAAACUCGAGGCUCAACCUCGAGACGCCGAUGGAAACCAUCUGGCUAGAGUCCGGAAGAGGAGAGUGGAAUUCCUGGUGUAGCGGUGAAAUGCGCAGAUAUCAGGAAGAACACCCGUGGCUAAGGCGGCUCUCUGGGACGGUACUGACGCUGAGACGCGAAAGCGUGGGGAGCGAACAGG